rnacentral:rRNA from 1 species
GUGGGGAAUUUUGGACAAUGGGCGCAAGCCUGAUCCAGCCAUGCCGCGUGCGGGAAGAAGGCCUUCGGGUUGUAAACCGCUUUUGUCAGGGAAGAAAUAGCUUGGGCUAAUACCCCGAGUUGAUGACGGUACCUGAAGAAUAAGCACCGGCUAACUACGUGCCAGCAGCCGCGGUAAUACGUAGGGUGCAAGCGUUAAUCGGAAUUACUGGGCGUAAAGCGUGCGCAGGCGGCUUCGUAAGACAGAGGUGAAAUCCCCGGGCUCAACCUGGGAACUGCCUUUGUGACUGCGAGGCUUGAGUACGGCAGAGGGGGAUGGAAUUCCGCGUGUAGCAGUGAAAUGCGUAGAUAUGCGGAGGAACACCGAUGGCGAAGGCAGUCCCCUGGGCCUGUACUGACGCUCAUGCACGAAAGCGUGGGGAGCAAACAGGAUUAGAAACCCCAGUAGUCC